UGGCUCAGUGGUAGAGCGCUUGCCUCGCAUGCAUGAGGCCUUGAGUUCGAUUCCCUA
rnacentral:tRNA from 1 species